CUAAGAAUCUUCCGCAAUGGGCGAAAGCCUGACGGAGCGAUGCCGCGUGAUCGAUGAAGGUCGAGAGAUUGUAAAGAUCUUUUACAACUGAGGAAUAAGCCUAGGAGGGAAUGCCUGGGUGAUGACGUUAGGUUGUGAAUAAGCCCCGGCUAAUUACGUGCCAGCAGCCGCGGUAACACGUAAGGGGCGAGCGUUGUUCGGAAUUAUUGGGCGUAAAGGGCACGCAGGCGGUUAUACAAGUCCGAUGUUAAAGACCUGGGCUCAACUCAGGGAAUGCGUUGGAAACUGUGUGACUAGAAUCUUGGAGGGGGAGUCGGAAUUCCUAGUGUAGGGGUGAAAUCUGUUGAUAUUAGGAAGAACACCGGUGGCGAAGGCGGACUCCUGGCCGAAGAUUGACGCUGAGGUGCGAAAGCAUAGGGAGCAAACAGG
rnacentral:rRNA from 1 species